GUCUCAUCAAUGAUGUUUAAAGAAAAAAAUGUCUGAACUUAUGGAAAAAAAAGUGAUUCUUAAUGUCCCCUGAGAUGAGAC
ensembl:snoRNA